CUGAAGGUGAACCCUACCCAACUCAUUUUGAAGAGCACCCACCACACAACACAGCGGUCACCACACCUCCUCAACCCUAAUCUUCUCUUCCAGCUUUCUGCACCAAAUUCUACCGUCACUACCACAAUCGAUGCCGGAUUGGAGCUGCUGUCAACGGAUCGAAGCAGAUGUCACCGUCGCAGAUUGAAGCAGUUGUGCGUUGUCUUGAACUCUGAACUCUGAAGCUUCUGACGUCGCGAACGUCUACUCAGCCCUGUUCUCCUCGCCAUCAUUCCAGUGCCUCCAGAAGCUUCCUUCCUCCAACAACAAGUUCACCUACAACUGCGACAACCACACCUUCAACUUCCUCGUCGAUAAUGGCUUCAGUGUCUGAGAAGAAGGCUAAAGAUCAUGCAAGGAAGUUGAGUCCUCUUGAAAGUUGAGCAUUGGCUUGGGAUGAAGCAGAACGUGCUAAGUAUCUGUCCAUGUAUAUUAUUAUUAACAUGAUAUGAUCUGAACUUGUUUUGCGACGAUGAUUCUACUAGUUUGUUUAAUUCAACCCUUUAACUUGAUAUAAACUUUUCAAUUUUUUAAAUUUCUCUUAUAAAAAUAUGCCUUAGUCUAGGUGAGUUUUCAGAAGUAGUCAAUGAAUUGAUGCAGUUUGUUUGUGAAAAAUUGAAUGUAUAGGUUCAAGCGUGAAGAGGUGAGGAUUCAAUCAUGUUAUAUGUACGGUGCCAAACUGUCAUUCAACACCACUACCAUUCAAAAAAGCGGUGAAGAGAUUAUACAGCAUCUGGACAUAGAUUAUACAGCAUUUGGACAUGGGAAAUUCUAAAUAGUAGUAGUUGUAGAAAAGUUGGUACAUCCGAUUUCUUGUAAAUCUUGGGGCUCGUGAGAACUAGCUCUAUUGUAAGUGUCCUUGUAAAGUUUGAUAAUCGAAAGGACAAAAUUGUAUAAUA